GUCUACAGCCACGCCACCCUGAUCAAUCCCAAUGUCUGAUCUCGGAAGCUAAGCAGAGUCGAACCUGGUUAGUACUUGGAUGGGAGACUACCUAGGACAAUCAGGUGCUGUAGGCA
rnacentral:rRNA from 1 species